UACGUAGGGUGCAAGCGUUUGUCCGGAAUCAUUGGGCGUAAAGCGCGCGUAGGUGGCUUCGUAAGUCCGUUGUGAAAGUCAAAGGCUCAACCUUUGAAAGCCGAUGGAUACUGCGGAGCUAGAGUACGGAAGAGGCGAGUGGAAUUCCUGGUGUAGCGGUGGAAUGCGCAGAUAUCAGGAGGAACACCAAUAGCGAAGGCAGCUCGCUGGGACGUUACUGACACUAAGGCGCGAAAGCGUGGGGAGCGAACAGG
rnacentral:rRNA from 1 species